rnacentral:rRNA from 1 species
GAUGAACGCUGGCGGCGUGCCUAACACAUGCAAGUCGAACGGAAAGACCCGGCUUUUGUGGGUUUCUCGAGUGGCGAACGGGUGAGUAACACGUGUGUAAACCCUCCUUAUCUUUCUGAUAACUUCACGGAACUGGGGCUAAUAUCGGGUAGGAUCUAUUGCUGCACGUUGGGCAUUGGUAAGUUUCGGCGGUUGGGGAUGGACUCGCAGCUUACCCGCUUGAUCGGGGGGUAGUUGCUGACCAAGGCUUUCACGGGUAGCCGGCCUGAGAGGCUUACCGGCCACCUUGAGACUGAGAGACGGCACAGACUGGUACGGGACGCAACAGUGGGGAAUAUUGCAGAAUAAGCGGGAGCCUGAUGCGGCAGCGCCGCGUUCGGGAAGACGGCCUUCGGGUGGUAAACCGAUUUCGCAUGUGACGAAGCGUGAGUGACGGUAACGGGUAAAGAAGCCCCGGCUAACUACGUG